rnacentral:snoRNA from 1 species
GCCGAUGAUGUGUGGCUUCGGGUCUGAAAGGUGAUGACACCAGCUAUCGCUGAGG